GAUGAACGCUGGCGGCGUGCUUAACACAUGCAAGUCGAACGGUGAACACGGAGCUUGCUCUGUGGGAUCAGUGGCGAACGGGUGAGUAACACGUGAGCAACCUACCCCUGACUCUGGGAUAAGCGCUGGAAACGGCGUCUAAUACUGGAUAUGUGGCGUGACCGCAUGGUCUGCGUCUGGAAAGAAUUUCGGUUGGGGAUGGGCUCGCGGCCUAUCAGCUUGUUGGUGAGGUAAUGGCUCACCAAGGCGUCGACGGGUAGCCGGCCUGAGAGGGUGACCGGCCACACUGGGACUGAGACACGGCCCAGACUCCUACGGGAGGCAGCAGUGGGGAAUAUUGCACAAUGGGCGCAAGCCUGAUGCAGCAACGCCGCGUGAGGGAUGACGGCCUUCGGGUUGUAAACCUCUUUUAGCAGGGAAGAAGCGAAAGUGAC
rnacentral:rRNA from 1 species